GCGCGGUCAUACCAGUUUCUCGGCUCCAAUUGGGAACAAGUUCGCUCGCGUCGCGGAAGAAGCAAAGGCCAUAAAAUAGAGAAGCACUGCAAAUGCACUGUUAUUCAUAAAGUACAACCGCGAUUAGAAGAGCCCAAGGAACAGGUGUUUAUCGACCACCUGACAGGCCGCAAAUCAGCGAGAGUAAACCGCGAGGGGAAGAGAAAAGCUGUGCCAACACACAGGCACAUUCUUCUGCAUUCGCUGCCCACCGCUUUCAUCGCGGGCUUCGUUCGUGUGUGUGCGUGCGUGUGUGCGAAAGAGCGUGUGCAAAUAUCGGUUUUGCCGCGUUGUCUGCUCUGCUGCGAAUUUCAAGCCAAGAGAGGAGACAGGGAGAGAGAGAGAGCGAGGAGAGGAGAGGAGAGGAUCGGGUGAAUGUCGCUGAAACACCAGAAGUCAUCCUACCAACCGCUUCCAACGGCGGCUGCCAUGGACAACCCGGCGAUGAUCCAGAGCGGCAGCAGCGGGAGCAGUCGGGAGGAUGUGGCCGUCGGACUCUCCGAGACCAACUCGUCACAGGAGCUGGUGAACUCGGAAAGCAUGGAGGAGCACUGUUGCCUGCGCCAGCCCCACCACCUGGAUGCGGGCGUCGCCCCCUCCGCCGCCGUGCCCUCGCGCCUCUUCGCCGUGGGCAGGUCGCAGUGGUUCACCGUCUUCGUCCUCUGCUUCGUCAACCUCAUCAACUACAUGGACCGCUUCACGAUCGCCGGAGUGCUGACAGAUGUGCGAACUGACUUCGACAUUGGAAAUGACAGCGCCGGACUUUUGCAGACCGUAUUCGUCAUCUCGUACAUGGUGUGCGCCCCCAUCUUCGGAUACCUGGGCGAUCGCUACUCCCGCCCCUGGAUAAUGGCGGUGGGCGUGGCCCUGUGGAGCACCACCACCCUGCUGGGCUCGUACAUGCAGGACUUCGGCUGGUUCAUCACCUUCCGGGCGCUGGUCGGGAUCGGCGAGGCCUCGUACAGCACCAUUGCGCCGACGAUCAUCUCGGACCUCUUCGUGCACGACAUGCGCUCCAAGAUGCUGGCACUGUUCUACUUUGCCAUACCCGUGGGAUCCGGUCUGGGAUACAUUGUGGGAUCCAAGACCGCGCACCUGGCCAACAACUGGCGCUGGGCCCUGAGGGUCACGCCCAUCCUCGGCAUUCUGGCCGUCCUGCUCAUUGUGCUCAUCAAGGAUCCGGAGCGGGGUCACAGCGAGGGAUCGCACAACCUGGAGGCCACCACCUACAGGCAGGACAUCAAGGCUUUGGUUAAGAACCGCUCGUUCAUGCUCUCCACGGCGGGCUUCACGUGCGUGGCCUUUGUGGCCGGAGCCCUGGCCUGGUGGGGACCCUCUUUCAUCUACCUAGGCAUGAAGAUGCAGCCCGGCAACGAGGACAUCGUCCAGGACGACAUCUCGUACAAGUUUGGCCUGGUGGCCAUGCUGGCGGGUCUCAUCGGAGUUCCGCUGGGCUCCUUCCUCGCCCAGAGGCUGAGGGGCAGCUACGAGAACUGUGAUCCCUACAUCUGCGCGGUGGGACUCUUCAUCUCGGCUCCCAUGGUGUUUGCCGCCUUGGUGGUGCCGCAGACGAGCGAAAGCCUGUGCUUCUUCUUCGUCUUCGUGGCCCAAGUGGCUCUGAACCUGUGCUGGUCCAUAGUGGCGGAUAUCCUACUGUAUGUGGUGGUCCCUACACGACGUUCUACAGCCGAGGCCUUCCAGAUCCUCAUCUCGCAUGCGUUGGGCGACGCCGGCAGUCCUUAUUUGGUGGGAGCGAUCUCCGAGGCCAUCAUGAAGCACCUGCACAAGAACCCGGGCGCCUCUGGCCUGACGACUGAAAUGCAGAGCAUGUCCCAAGUGGCGGAGACCCCAAUGGGUAAUGUCACCACGGCCAUUGUGGAGGCCACCACCAAUAUGAUUGACACAGUGCGCUCCGCUGCCACGCUCUCCGAUGAGUACUCCGACAGGGAGCAGUUUGAGGGAUUGCAGUACGCCCUGUUCUCCACCAGCUUUGUGGAGGUGCUGGGCGGCAUUUUCUUCAUGAUCACCGCCUGCUUCAUCAUCAAGGACAAGUACAAUGCCACUAGGGGACUGCAAGGCGACCAGGGACUGGGUGCGGUACGAUCGUCAGCUGCCUUGGCCAGUGGGCUAAAGGACGUCGAGUCCUUCCACUCAGACUGCCUGGUCAUGUGCACUGACAUCGCGCUGCGCGAACGCACCUGAUAGCGCGAAUACGAAAACCUAAAGUGUGCCCUGGGCACUGACUGAUUUUUAUUUUCGGCCUAGCUCCCGAUGCCACUACUCAACAACAGCAGCGGGAGCAGCGCGAUCAGAUUGCCUAAUACCAGCCGAUCCUCGAGGUUAUGCUGAGCACUCAGAGCUCCGAUGGCAUGCCGGGUGAACUGAUACUGACUGAAAAUCAUCUUUAAUUUAAACAACGCUCACUCGCACCACGCACAUGCCGCAUCGGAUCGUACCGGAAGCUUAAGGGGACGCCCUGGGCCUGCCACGCUCAGAUCGGCCGCCACAAGUCCCCCGUGUUCAAGUUCCUAUUGGGAAGGAAGGAAGGAAGGAAGGGCCACCAGGCCAACGUUCAACACCCCACACUGAUUUGUAGAUAUAGAUACAAACACUCACUCUCACUCUGGCACUCACCAAGUCAUAACGUUACACAGUUCAUUUUACUUGUAAACGGUUUACACGUAGUCUAGGAUAGGUAUAGCUCUGGUAUUUUAGGCUAAAUCACGCAGAGUUUCGCACUCGAAGAAGUGCUCCCUCAGAACGGAUAAUGUACAUAGAUGUUAUCUCAGGCAUCGAGUGCGACACCGCCUGCAGCUUGGAUAUUUAAAUCAUGUGUGUGUGUAUAUUUUAUAUGAAUUGUAAAUAUAUGGAUAAGCGCCGGGCCAUUGUAUAAGUGCGUAGUCUAUUUAAUCAAUUUAGUCCUAAUCUGAACAUAAUGUUAAUCAUAGCAUUAGUCAUUAGUUAGUUGUGUAACGAAUUGGAAGAAAUGUGUGCACCCUCAACCAUAACUGAAUAUUACAGCGUAACUAUUUUAGGCCAAAACGGCAUUAACCAAUCCUCGAGUUUGUUUUUUGUUUGAUUGACCCUAAUCGAAUGCUAGCCUAAUCGGAGCGCAAAUGAAAAGCGACACAAAGACUGCAAGCAAAUUGAUUGUUUAGCAACUAAGGAUUUUCGAGGCAAUAAAUAUAAAUUUCGGAAAAAUUCAAA